UGGGGUAAAGAACUGACUUCUGCCUUCUC
rnacentral:piRNA from 1 species